rnacentral:lncRNA from 1 species
AAAAUAACGGUGCUGCUUUGCUUUAAUGCUGGCUUUAUAGCAGCCAGACAUCUCAUCUGUUUGUCUCUUUGUCCUCUGGUUUUACAAUUACAUUAACGGAGGAAGUGGCCCUGCCUUCUGUGGGCGGUUCAUUAGUUUAUUACAGUUUAUUAUGCUGUUGACUUCUGGUCAAACACAGCAGAAAUAAAGCCCAGCUGAGACAUGGCAGCAGAAACAGAGAGUAGCCCGAAAACUGUUCUUACGAAGCCUGACAGCCUGGUGUGGAGUUCAACAGCUGUAGUGACAUUUCAUCUGAUCUUCUGUGUGCUGGUGAUCGCAUUAACUGCAACAGGACUCAUCUUGAAUGACCGGAACCUUGAGUGCGAGGCCAGCGUUGAGUUUGCCUCCUGGCAGAAGCUCCAGAUCACACUGGUGUCCUCAUGGGCUGGGUUGAUAUUUCUCGCUUGCAUUUUGGUGCUGCUUGAGUGUUGGCGAAGGAACGGCCACACCAUAAAAAUGAUCGCAGGUGUGACCUGCGUGCUCACAGUCAUCAUGGUUUCUUCUUUGAUUUACCUCCAUAAAGCAGAGACUAAGGAGAUUCAACAUUUCAGAGAGCGAUACUUGACUUUCCUUCCUCACAUGAGAAGAACAAAAUACGUGAGAAACGCCACCUGCAGCCUCCUAACCAAUGUCUACAGCUGGCAGACACAGUUCCAGUGUUGCGGUCUUGAAAGCCACCAGGACUGGAAUUCAUUCAUUCCAGACUCCUGUUUGUGUAACCGAGGGAGGAGCGAAUCUGGAUGUGUUGAAUUUAAACACAGCCUGGUUUAUGAAAAGCCUUGUCUCCCCACAGUUAUAGAUCUCCUCAAAACACACAACUACCCAUUUUGGAUCAUCAUGAUAGUUUGGGUUAGCAUCGUGAGUUCCCCUCUGGCUAUCACCUGUCUGACUCUCGCAGGGCUAAUAAUUUGGAGUUUUUUUUUCUGUAUGUCCUGGUUAAUGGAAGACCAGAUUGUUUGGUGCAAGACUUGUUGGAGAAAGAAAAGAGUUCCCGUGGUUUUCAUCAGAAAGGAAAAUAACAACCAAGCAUUGAGCAGGAAGCAGAGCAGCAGAGAUGCUUCAGGAGAACACACAAAUACUGAGCAGGAGGAGGAGGAACAGAACACAGAGGACAAACCUGGUGUCAACCCGGUGAAGAUGAUUACUCUGCCACAGCUGAGUAGGCUACAGGAGGGGCUGGACCCACCUCCGGUCCUACACAGGGUACAGAACGGGCCCUGCAUGUGUAUUCUCCCCCCAUCCACCAAAAUCAAAGACUUCUACACAGUCUGGAUCGAGGAGGGAUCCCCAUUACUGCCUGGAGACGCCAUCUUAGUUGAUGCUCACAUUCCUAUGAAAAAUUGUUUCUGGGAUAAAGGGCAUCGUUAUUAUGACGUCAACGACAUCGUUUGGCCAAAAGAGCCAGAAAAAUCUGAGAAAUCUGAAAAAUCUGAAGUUUGA